GACGAACGCUGGCGGCGUGCUUAACACAUGCAAGUCGAACGGAAAGGCCACGUUGGUGGUACUCUAGCGGCGAACGGGGGCGUAACACGUGAGUAACCUGCCCUUGACUUUGGGAUAGCUAUAGGUUACUGGAACCGAUACCGAAUAGGAAUCCUUGCUGCAUGGGGGGGGUUGGAAAGUUUCGGCGGUUUUGGCUGGACUGGCGAGGUAUCGGCUUGCUGGUGGGGCGGUGGCUUACCGAGGCGUCGUCGGGUAGCCGGCCUGAGUGGGCGACCGGCCACCUUGGGACUGAGGGACGGCAGAGGUUGCUACUGGUGGCCGAAGUGGGGAAGCUUGAAGAAGGGGCGCAGGGCGGAUGAAGCAGCGCCGCGGGCGGGAUGACGCUCUUAGGGGUGUAGACCGCAUUCAGCAGGGGCGAUGCUUGUGGUGACGGUACCUGCAGAAGAAGCACCGGCUAACUACGUG
rnacentral:rRNA from 1 species